GGAAGGUAAUCGCGCCCGGUGGCGCGGCCGGGCUUCAAACCCGGUUGGGGACGGCAUCCGUUCCCGGGCAGGUUCGACUCCGGCUUCCUUCC
rnacentral:tRNA from 1 species